rnacentral:rRNA from 1 species
AACGAACGCUGGCGGCAUGCCUAACACAUGCAAGUCGAACGAAGCCUUCGGGCUUAGUGGCGCACGGGUGCGUAACGCGCGGGAAUCUGCCCUUUGGUUCGGAAUAACAGUUGGAAACGACUGCUAAUACCGGAUGAUGACGAAAGUCCAAAGAUUUAUCGCCAGAGGAUGAGCCCGCGUAGGAUUAGCUAGUUGGUGUGGUAAAGGCGCACCAAGGCGACGAUCCUUAGCUGGUCUGAGAGGAUGAUCAGCCACACUGGGACUGAGACACGGCCCAGACUCCUACGGGAGGCAGCAGUGGGGAAUAUUGGACAAUGGGCGAAAGCCUGAUCCAGCGAUGCCGCGUGAGUGAUGAAGGCCCUAGGGUUGUAAAGCUCUUUUACCCGGGAUGAUAAUGACAGUACCGGGAGAAUAAGCCCCGGCUAACUCCGUGCCAGCCGCCGCGGUAA